rnacentral:rRNA from 2 species
UAAGAUGAGAGUUUGAUCCUGGCUCAGGACGAACGUUGGCGGCAUGCCUAAUACAUGCAAGUCGAACGAGCUUCCGUUGAUUGACGUGCUUGCACUGAUUUCAACCAUGAAGCGAGUGGCGAACUGGUGAGUAACACGUGGGAAAUCUGCCCAGAAGCAGGGGAUAACACUUGGAAACAGGUGCUAAUACCGUAUAACAACAAGAACCGCAUGGUUCUUGUUUGAAAGGUGGCUUCGGCUAUCACUUCUGGAUGAUCCCGCGGCGUAUUAGUUAGUUGGUGAGGUAAAGGCCCACCAAGACAAUGAUACGUAGCCGACCUGAGAGGGUAAUCGGCCACAUUGGGACUGAGACACGGCCCAAACUCCUACGGGAGGCAGCAGUAGGGAAUCUUCCACAAUGGACGAAAGUCUGAUGGAGCAAUGCCGCGUGAGUGAAGAAGGGUUUCGGCUCGUAAAACUCUGUUGUUAAAGAAGAACACCUCUGAGAGUAACUGUUCAGGGGUUGACGGUAUUUAACCAGAAAGCCACGGCUAACUACGUGCCAGCAGCCGCGGUAAUACGUAGGUGGCAAGCGUUGUCCGGAUUUAUUGGGCGUAAAGCGAGCGCAGGCGGUUUCUUAAGUCUGAUGUGAAAGCCUUCGGCUUAACCGGAGAAGUGCAUCGGAAACUGGGUAACUUGAGUGCAGAAGAGGACAGUGGAACUCCAUGUGUAGCGGUGGAAUGCGUAGAUAUAUGGAAGAACACCAGUGGCGAAGGCGGCUGUCUAGUCUGUAACUGACGCUGAGGCUCGAAAGCAUGGGUAGCGAACAGGAUUAGAUACCCUGGUAGUCCAUGCCGUAAACGAUGAGUGCUAGGUGUUGGAGGGUUUCCGCCCUUCAGUGCCGCAGCUAACGCAUUAAGCACUCCGCCUGGGGAGUACGACCGCAAGGUUGAAACUCAAAGGAAUUGACGGGGGCCCGCACAAGCGGUGGAGCAUGUGGUUUAAUUCGAAGCUACGCGAAGAACCUUACCAGGUCUUGACAUACUAUGCAAACCUAAGAGAUUAGGCGUUCCCUUCGGGGACAUGGAUACAGGUGGUGCAUGGUUGUCGUCAGCUCGUGUCGUGAGAUGUUGGGUUAAGUCCCGCAACGAGCGCAACCCUUAUUAUCAGUUGCCAGCAUUCAGUUGGGCACUCUGGUGAGACUGCCGGUGACAAACCGGAGGAAGGUGGGGAUGACGUCAAAUCAUCAUGCCCCUUAUGACCUGGGCUACACACGUGCUACAAUGGACGGUACAACGAGUUGCGAAGUCGUGAGGCUAAGCUAAUCUCUUAAAGCCGUUCUCAGUUCGGAUUGUAGGCUGCAACUCGCCUACAUGAAGUUGGAAUCGCUAGUAAUCGCGGAUCAGCAUGCCGCGGUGAAUACGUUCCCGGGCCUUGUACACACCGCCCGUCACACCAUGAGAGUUUGUAACACCCAAAGCCGGUGAGAUAACCUUCGGGAGUCAGCCGUCUAAGGUGGGACAGAUGAUUAGGGUGAAGUCGUAACAAGGUAGCCGUAGGAGAACCUGCGGCUGGAUCACCUCCUUUCUAAGGAA